rnacentral:lncRNA from 1 species
AUGUGAUAAAAAUAAAGAAAUAGUGUCAAUCAAAUGUUUCUCUAGUAUGUCAAAAAAUCAAAGCCAUAGCUAAAAAUGAACUGAACUGUAACAGUUAGCGGAGAUCCAAUAUGAUCCAACAGGUCGCUAAUGAGAGCGUUAAGAACACAGUCUGCUAUACCAAACUGUUAUGGCAUUGAUAGAAUUCCGAGUUUAACUGCAUAGUUGAAUGCAAAAUAAAACGAAGAUACGAUCAUAUCAAGGUCUGGGACAUAUACUACAGGAACUCCUCAAUCCAAAAAAUGCCGUUUUAUAUCAAACAAAUAUUACCUUCACUAAGAGACAUGUUUGGCUCCAUUCACUGGGCAUGAUAGCUGUGUAUAUACGAAGAUGGCUCCUCAGCUUCUCUGCCAAAACACUCCUCCAUCUAACACAUGCGUUUUCUCUGCAUAACGUGCCACUUUGAGUAACUGCAAGCUGUCAGACAAGUCUCAAAAUGUUUCAACAUAUAUAACAGGUCGCAAGAAGAGGAGUUUCACCAAGAGUGACGUGAGUUUUCAAAA